rnacentral:rRNA from 1 species
ACGCUCGACACCUACGGGAGGCGGCAGUAGGGAAUCUUCCACAAUGGACGCAAGUCUGAUGGAGCAACGCCGCGUGAGUGAAGAAGGUUUUCGGAUCGUAAAGCUCUGUUGUUGGUGAAGAAGGAUAGAGGUAGUAACUGGCCUUUAUUUGACGGUAAUCAACCAGAAAGUCACGGCUAACUACGUGCCAGCAGCCGCGGUAAUCUGAGCGGGCUGGCAAGGC